rnacentral:rRNA from 1 species
CCUACGGGAGGCAGCAGUGGGGAAUAUUGCACAAUGGGGGAAACCCUGAUGCAGCGACGCCGCGUGAGUGAAGAAGCGUUUCGGCGCGUAAAGCUCUGUCAGCGGGGAAGAAACACUGUUCGCGAGAGCCGCGGACGGUACCCGACCAAGAAGCCCCGGCUAACUACGGGUCAGCAGCCGCGGUAAUACGUAGGGGGCAAGCGUUAUCCGGAUGCACUGGGUGGAAAGGGAGGGUAGACGGCGAGACAAGACUGAGGUGAAAGGCCCGGGCUCAACCCCGGGACUGCCCUGGAAACUGCCUGGCUAGAGUGUAGUAGAGGUAGGUGGAAUGCCUGGUGUAGCGGUGAAAUGCGUAGAUAUUAGGAGGAACACCAGUGGCGAAGGCGGCUUACUGGACUAUAACUGACGUUGAGGCUCGAAAGCGUGGGGAGCAAACAGGAUUAGAUACCCGUGUAGUC